CCCCACAAUUUUCACCAGAUUUUUGGUUACAAUUUAAAAAGCCAGAAAGUGUGGGAAAGCGUAAAAUAAAAUUUAAGCUGAUUAUUUCGUGGUCGCAAUUAGAUUGUUACUCUGUGGUCAUGGCCCAUGGGUGGCAAAAUCUCUCAAUCGGAAUUAUUUUACAGCAAACAC